rnacentral:rRNA from 1 species
CCUACGGGAGGCAGCAGACGCCGCGUGGAGGAAGAAGGUCUUCGGAUUGUAAACUCCUGUUGUUGGGGAAGAUAAUGACGGUACCCAACAAGGAAGUGACGGCUAACUACGUGCCAGCAGCCGCGGUAAUACGUACGUAGGGUGGCGAGCGCGGGUAAUA